rnacentral:rRNA from 1 species
GUCAGCAUGGGCACUUGGGGCAAGUUCCUUGGAAGAGGACAGCAUGGAGGGUGAUACUUCCCGUUCAUUUCUGAGUUGCUCGUGCGUACGACCCGUUUUCUUUGAGUCGCGUUGUUUGGGAAUGCAGCGCAAAGUAGGUGGUAAAUUCCAUCUAAAGCUAAAUAUUGGUGCGAGACCGAUAGCGAACAAGUACCGUGAGGGAAAGAUGAAAAGAACUUUGAAAAGAGAGUUAAAGAGUACCUGAAACUGCUGAAAGGGAACCGAAUCGUUUCCAGUGUCUAUAAUCCGUGGUAUAUUUCAUUGGCGAGUGUGUGCGUGCGUGUGCUGUGGCAGCGGCUUUUUUGGCUGCGCUCGGCGUGUGUGCUGUGUGUGCUUGCUGGUGCUCUGUGCUGCGGUGGGACGUCAAGGUCAGUUCGUAUGCUGCGGGAAAUGGCUGCCGAGGAGGUAGGGCUUACGCUUGCGUUUGUCUGUUAUAUCUUGGUGGACGAGUAGUCGCGGUUGGGACUGAGGUGCCUACAACGUGCUUUUGAGUGGGUUUGUGUCUCCGUGUGCGCCGUGUGC